AAAGGUUCAUUAAAUCAGUUAUGAUGAACAUUAUAAGUAAUUACUACUUGUAUAACCGUGGUAAUUUCGGAGCUAAUACAUGCAACGAAAACCUCGACUUUGGAAGGGGUACCCUUAUUGGGUAAAAGCCAGCUUGAUGUGAAGGCCAUUUUUUUCGUGAUUUAUAAUAAUUCAAUGGUGAUCGCAUGGCCUUGUGCUGGCGAUGGUUUAUUAUAUUUUCUGCCCUAUCAGAUUAAGACUGUAAGAUAGAGGCUUGCGUUGUCUACCAUGGGUAGCAGGGAAUCAGGGUCUGGUCCCGAAA
rfam:Phycomyces blakesleeanus NRRL 1555(-) unplaced genomic scaffold PHYBLscaffold_1, whole genome shotgun sequence.